rnacentral:tRNA from 1 species
GGGCGAUUAGCUCAGCUGGUUAGAGCGCUACACUGAUAAUGUAGAGGUCCCCGGUUCGAUUCCAGGAUCGCCCACCA